rnacentral:rRNA from 1 species
GACGAACGCUGGCGGCGUGCUUAACACAUGCAAGUCGAACGGAAAGGCCCUGCUUUUGUGGGGUGCUCGAGUGGCGAACGGGUGAGUAACACGUGAGUAACCUGCCCUUGACUUUGGGAUAACUUCAGGAAACUGGGGCUAAUACCGGAUAGGAGCUCCUGCUGCAUGGUGGGGGUUGGAAAGUUUCGGCGGUUGGGGAUGGACUCGCGGCUUAUCAGCUUGUUGGUGGGGUAGUGGCUUACCAAGGCUUUGACGGGUAGCCGGCCUGAGAGGGUGACCGGCCAGAGGGGGAUUGAGCUACGCCCGAGUCCCGUCGGGGAGGCAGAGGGGGGAAAGUUUGCAAAGGGGGGGGAAGCCGGACGCAGCAGCCCCGCGGGGGGGAGGCGGGCCUUGGGUUUGAAACCCGUUUUCGCCUGUGACGAGGGGGGGGUGAGGGUAGUGGGUAAAAAAACCCCGGCUAACUACGUC